CUUCCUCAGGCUGCACCUCCCUGAUGUAUUUCACAAAUGACCGCCAAUUCUGGUCUCUGAAGAAUCUUUUCCCCACAGGAUUCUGAGAGGGAGAACUCCCUUUAUUCUCCUACCAGCUCUCAGGCCCAUCAGAUUCAGUCUCUUUCUUGGGCUCCUAAUACAUUUUAGUCAUGGCGUGAAAAGAAAAUGAUUACGUUUGCAGAGCAUGAUGGAAGGCAGUGGUGGGGAUUUAGAGCCCUGAAUGGGCUGUUGGCAGUUGGUGGGGCUGGACACCCAAAGGGCUGAGGAGAUAAUAGCUCCUGGACCGGGAUGCUCUGCCUUAGGAACUGCCAUGCUGGAUCUGCUCUGCUGGCCCUCUAUCCAUUCUCCCUGAGCCACCUCUGUAGCUUGGAUUCAGUCCCUGAAUCUGCACUGAUGACCCCACAACUCUUUCUCCAGUCCAAUGCUCUUCGCUCUUGCUCCUUUCCAACUUCAUACCCACUCACCAUUGGACCCAUCCCCGUGUGGGGUUGAAGAUGCCUCCAAUGUAUGAUGCACAAACAACAAGCCUAUGAUCUUUUUCCCAAAGGUCAUUUAGAGGCACCAUCACACACAUGGUCACUCCAGAUACAAACUUGAGUGUACCCCCACCCCCCGAAUUCUCCUGUGUCCCUCACGCCUCACAUCCAGCCAGCCACAAAUUCAUGCUGGUGUGAUCUGCUAGAUAUAUCUCAGUUCCACCAGUCCUCCUCAUCCCCAACUAAAAAAGCCCCUAUUCAGACCUUCUUUCUCUCCGGUUUAUUGCUCCAGUCAGGGCCCCUCCCAUCCAUGCAUCUUUGUAGCGGCUACUAGGUCUGGACAUCCUGAACACAAACCUCAUGAGCUCAUUCUUUCUCAUGGCUCCCUGGGCAUGUUCAAGAUAAACUUUGUGGUCCUUAUCAAGCCCCUGCAAGCACUCGUGACCCUUCAGCCUCACCUCCUACCAUUUCUUGGGGCUCAAAUCAAUGCUUCAGGAACUCCAAUACACUUGUAGCUCCCUACACGCCCUGAGAUUAUUAUUUCAGCCUCCUUUCUUUGGAUCGUACAGCCCUCAGUUUCCUAGAAUGCCUUUGCCUUCCGACAGCCCCUUUCCUGACUUGGAUUCUUUGAAUGCUUUAAGACCUGGGUCACCCUUUACUUUGUCCAGGGGAUCUUCCCUGACCUCCUCACUCCUCACGAUGGUUUCCAUCAUACCUUGUGUUGUCAUUGACAAAGCACUUCUCAUCUUGUGUCAUGAUCGUCUCUCUGUUUUGCCUGGAGACGGGGAAUAGGUUCUGUGUUUGAUUGGCUUCAGAGUUCCUGACAUCAGCCAGUGGUGGGCCUGACACAAAUUAAGCAGCCAGGGAGUGCAUUGCUGGGUUUUAAAGGGUGUGCAUAGUCAAGUAGGAACAGAAGGUCAAUUGAUGGGCUCUUGGUGUGGGGCGGGGGUGGAAGUGUGAGAGCACACAGUGGGUAGGAGUAUCCAUAGGACUUUUUAAUACCUAGUUUCAUCUGGUCUGUUAUUUCUACUCUAGGCAAGGGUGGGAGAAGUAACGAAGGAACAGCAGACAAACACCUCAAUUCACACGUGCUCGCUCUCUCUCUCUCUCUCUCUCUCUCUCUCUCUCUCUCUCUCUCUCACACACACACACACACACCCUGGAACACCAGUUUAAGACCCUGCUGCCACUAACUGGCAUGCUACCCUCAGCUCCUAUUCUGAGAUGGUGACUUCCUUUUAUUCCCUGUACACAGCAGGCCUCUGUCCCACCUCUGUGCUUCUGCACAUGCUAUUCCCUUCUCUCCUCAUACCAUUCCCUUAGUUCUGUCAACCCAGGUGGAGGUAAAUCUCUUCAUUUUGCCUAUGCUAACUCAAAGGCCAACUCCUUCACGAAGGCUCUCCCGAAACCCUCCUCAACAGUUUCCACAUACACCCCGUGACAGAUUUAUACAUAGCACUUAGAACUUUUGAUGACUGCUCUGGCUUUAUAUAUAUCUGCUACUUCAGAACGAGACAUUGCAAAGGGAGAUUAGGGGUGGUGUCCCACUCAUUUUUGGGUUCCCAGAGUCACUGAGGGCAGGACUGGGCUAGAGUGGCUUUCUGCUUGGUGGCGAUGAGUCCACGUGUGAAUGCACAAAUGAAUACGUAAAUGCGUGGCUCCAGGGCCCGUGGUCCUGCUGUUUCCCUGGUCCUCUCAGCUGCACAUCUCCAAUGAUGUCCUCCAUGACCACGUCAUACUGGACCACAAAGUCGGCCCUGAUCCCUGAGCUGGAGAAGGCAGACUGCUCUUGCAAUGUCGGGCGGAAGGUAAUUCAGACACAGGUCUCUCCCCUCUCGAUCCUUGUGGAUGGGGGCGAGUCGGCCUCACCUGCACGGGUGGGGAGGGGGUGGUUGUUACGGCGGGCUCACCAGGCAAAAUGCCAUGGAAAGGGAAAUGAAAAGGGGCGAUAUCUAGGAAGGAGGAGAAAGAAUCCCCACGCCACCUCCUACUCCUUUGGCCUACAACACCCUUCCACCUGCCCAAAGGCCACCUUCCUCUUCCAGUCCUAUAAGCCGCUCCUCCCCCCUCCUAGCUCUGCCUCUUCCAGCAAAUCCAGCCCAACAGACCCAGCCCCCACUCAGCGCAGCCUGGCCUUCACUCACAACUUCUUCCUGGCUCACUUGCCGUCCAUCCCCGAGCUCAGUCUCUGGAGGAGCAUCAUGUCCCCAGGAGCCUGGGUCUUCUCCUACAGGGGCCGUGCGGUGCGUGUUGUGGAGAGAGACAGACACACGGACAGGGCCAAAUCUCCUCCCAUGCCCUUUACUGCUGUGGGAAAUUGCAGUCGAGCAAGGUUCCCUUCUGGGAUAGAAGUUCAUGUGCUUUCUUCCCCCUCUGCCUUCUGACUUUCAGAAUCACGUGUGUGAAUAAGCCUUUUAGCGCCUCGUGAAAUCACAGAUGAAUUUCUGGUCCCGGAUGUUUGCUGAGCUGGCCACAAGUUCAACUCCUCUGGAAUUUCAGUCCAAGACAAAUGUCCAUUUAGACAUGCCUCUGUGCCUCCUUUUUUCCAGAAAAUGGAAACUAGGGAAUUCUGCUCCCCGCCCCUCUUUCCUGCUACAUCUGUCAGGAAGCCAGGGGCAAACUGAGCCCCUAUACUCUCUGAGGCGCCUGCUUACAUACAUUCCCUUGGCUUCCUUCCUUUCAGAGGUCUUUGUUCUGUUUUAUCCCCACAGGAUUGGCUCUACCCUCUGAUUUAACCUUUAAGGAGCAAGGGGGGAGGGAGCUGCCAUUUAUAGCUUAGGGUUGAAGAGUGCAGGCUCCAAGGACUCAGAUGCUGCCUGUGGGUCCAGGUCCCUACUGCUGCCUGGGGGCCCCUGGACAAGUUAUUCACACUCGCCAAGCCUCAGUGUCCUCAUCUCUAGCACAGGGAUGAUAAUAGCUCCUGUAUCACAGACAAUGUGUGUGGGGGUUCAGUGAGAUCCUUGAGAUAAGGCAUUUGGAACCAUACUUGGAUUUUAGUGAGUGCUCAAUAAUGCUAAUAAUUGCAGUUAUCAUCACGUCUUCAUUACUCUGUACAGAGAUUUUCAGGGAGGAAUUUUCUCCAAUUCUCCCAGUGGUCCUGGGCCAUAGAUUGCACGUCCCCAUUGUACAGAUGGGAAAAGUGAAGCAGAGCAAGUGAGGGAUUUGCCUGCUGACCCACCUUGGGAGAAGGUCAAAGCUGGGAUUUGAACCCAGAUCUGUGUCUGUCUCUCUCCUCGCCGUAUUCCACACUGUCUCUCUGGAACAGCAGGGUCAAAUUAGGCUAAACAGUUUGGUGAGGGUGGCACACGACAUGGGUGAUUUCCCUGGGCCGGUCCACUCCUCUCUCAGAGGAGGCAUGUGGCCCAGAUCAGUGGUUCUCCAAUCUGACUGCACAUUGAGUUCACCUACAAAUGGGUUAAAAACACAGAUUCCUGGGUCCCUCCUCAAGCUGCAGAAGCAAAUUCCAGGAGGGUGGGGUCCUAGAUUCUGUAUUCUGACAGCUCACAUAGUGAUUCUGCUGUAGCCAGUGAGGACCGCCAACACCUCAAGAUGAGGUUUGAAGCAAGGCUGGCGGCCAGGACAUCUCUCUAGACUGCAGGGCCUGAGGUGCUAUCCUCUGGGGGCAGCCUACCUUUUACACUGUCCUCCCAUUGCUCUUCCACUCUCUGUGGUGAUUCCAGAGGAAAGCUAGUGUGGCCCCUGCAUCACUUAGCAAAACAUAUAGGUAAAGUUUACUGAUCAACUAAUUCAGUCAUUCCUUCAUUGACACAUAUUUACUAAUUAAUCACAUAUUUACUCACAUUACAUUCACCCACUUUCAUUUACUGACACAUUCACUCAGUUUCCUUUUUAUUACCACUUUGUCCAUCCUAAUGCCAUCAAAAAAACAGAUGGGGUAUCAAACUAGAAAUCAAUC
rnacentral:lncRNA from 1 species